rnacentral:tRNA from 1 species
CAGGGAGACAACAAAAUGUUUAUAUUAUUAUUUUGUCACCUUAGGUCGAUCGGUAUCUCACAUUCUUAAUCAAUUAAGAAUUUCAUUUCCUAAGUUUUUCUAGGUCACACCCAUUAUUUUUCCUGGGCCAUUAGCUCAGGUGGUUAGAGCGCACCCCUGAUAAGGGUGAGGUCCCUGGUUCAAGUCCAGGAUGGCCCAUAUCUCUAUGUUGGGGGUAUAGCUCAGUUGGUAGAGCGCCUGCUUUGCAAGCAGGAUGUCAGCGGUUCGAGUCCGCUUACCUCCACUGAUUACCACCUCUUCCAUAAUCUGUAGAAAGGAAAUUUUUUGAGUUGUGAUCAAGUUCUGAACGAAUCUAGCUUCCUAAUGAAAGUAUUAAGAUGCUGGACUCAUUGAAUUAAUUUCAUUGUUUUCAGAGAACCUUGACAACUGCAUAGAUUAUUUUUAAAGACAAUAAGCAUCUUUAAUGAUGCAGAUUUAUUAUUUGUGCGAAUGCAUUAAUAACAAUUCUAUUAAGCUGAUGCUUCAAUUUUGAAGUUAUU